AAUGGGCGAGAGCCUGAACCAGCCAUCCCGCGUGCAGGAUGACGGCCCUAUGGGUUGUAAACUGCUUUUCUGCUCCAAGAAACCUGAUUACGCGUAAUCAGUUGACGGUAGAGUAGGAAUAAGCAUCGGCUAACUCCGUGCCAGCAGCCGCGGUAAUACGGAGGAUGCAAGCGUUAUCCGGAUUCAUUGGGUUUAAAGGGUGCGCAGGUUGGAAUGUAAGUCAGUGGUGAAAUACUGCCGCUUAACGGUAGAACUGCCAUUGAUACUGCGUUUCUUGAGUAUGGUUGAGGUAGGUGGAAUGUGUUGUGUAGCGGUGAAAUGCAUAGAUAUGACACAGAACGCCAAUUGCGAAGGCAGCUUACUAAGCCAUUACUGACGCUGAGGCACGAAAGCGUGGGGAUCGAA
rnacentral:rRNA from 1 species